UUUGUUUUGUUGUCUACUUCUUUAUUUCCCUUUGGAUGGGUGCUCAUGUCGGCGUGGGGCACAACGGCCGCCGAGGGAGCCGAGCCGGCGGAUGUGGAGGCCGCCGAGCGGCGGUGCUCGCGUGAAGGAGGAAUAUGAUGAUGCGUGGAGUGGCAUGGGGUACCAACCAUCUCCAUCGAGUGGCGGUGCUCGCGUGAAGGAUGAGUUCGUGGUAGUAGCACUCUCUCGGCUGUGGCUGCACGUUCAACUGGCCAGUCAAGGAGCUCCAGCAGGACACCCAGCAAGUGUUUAGGAUCCCACACACGGCAGUUCUUGGCAUGCUCCUGGCACACCUUGGACUAUCACCGGCUCAGUAUGAACGCGUUGGUCAUGAGGACGGCAAGACCCAUGUUGUAAAUUGUCUGUAAGCGACGUGUUGCCGUAUCUUCUAUGCCUAAAACGUCUGUAAGCGACGUGUUGUCGUAUCUUCUAUACCUAAACGUCUACAUUAUGCCUAAAACUUAAAGUUAUUAUGCAUAGUUGUAAAUUGUCUUUAAGCGACGUGUUGUCGUAUCUUCCAUGCCUAAGAUAUUUGGUGCUAACCUAUCGUGAAACAUGCUUUUUAUGUUCAUGCAUUGUUACGUAGCUUCUUAUUAUGUGCAUACAAACGUUUGGACCGGCGCCCUCGCGCCACGACGCGAUCCCGAUCUA